rnacentral:lncRNA from 1 species
AAUGUCAGAGCUGAGAGGGCCCUUAGAACCCAGACUAUCAGAACUGGGAAAGCCCUUAGAACUCAAGAUGUCAGAGUUGGGAGGGCCCUUAGCACCCAGGAUGUCAAAGCUGAGAGGGCCCUUAAGACACAGGAUGUCAAAGCUGAGAGGGCCCUUAGGACACAGGAUGUGAGAGCUGGGAGAGCCCUUAGAACCCAGACUAUCAGAGCUGAGAGGGCCCUUAGAACCCUGAAUAUCAGAGCUGGGAGAGCCCUUAGAACCCAGAAUAUCAGAGCUGAGAGGGCCCUUAGAACCCAGACUAUCAGAGCUGGGAGAGCCCUUAGAACCCAGACUAUCAGAGCUGGGAGGGCCCUUAGAACCCAGAAUAUCAGAGCUGAGAGGGCCCUUAGAACCCAGACUAUCAGAGCUGGGAGAGCCCUUAGAACCCAGACUAUCAGAGCUGAGAGGGCCCUUAGAACCCAGAAUAUCAGAGCUGGGAAAGCCCUUAGAACUCAAGAUGUCAGAGUUGGGAGGGCCCUUAGAACCCAGAAUAUCAGAGCUGAGAGGGCCCUUAGAACCCAGAAUAUCAGAGCUGAGAGGGCCCUUAGAACCCUGAAUAUCAGAGCUGGGAGAGCCCUUAGAACCCAGAAUAUCAGAGCUGAGAGGGCCCUUAGAACCCAGAAUAUCAGAGCUGGGAAAGCCCUUAGAACUCAAGAUGUCAGAGUUGGGAGGGCCCUUAGAACCCAGAAUAUCAGAGCUGAGAGGGCCCUUAGAACCCAGAAUAUCAGAGCUGGGAGAGCCCUUAGAACUCAAGAUGUCAGAGUUGGGAGGGCCCUUAGCACCCAGGAUGUCAAAGCUGAGAGGGCCCUUAAGACACAGGAUGUCAAAGCUGAGAGGGCCCUCAGGACACAGGAUGUGAGAGCUGGGAGGGCCCUUAGAACAGCAUCAACGAUGGAAAGAGCCUUAAAUUCACUUGUGUCACAGGGUAAGGCUUUUGAAGCCCUGAGCAGUCAGGGUGAAAGGGACAGCAAUCUUGUCCAACUUUACUAUUUUGAGGUUGGCUGGUCUCUCUCCUUCCAUCCUGCCCCACCCUGUCAGGGAACUCCACAGGUGGACCUGCCCCAGGGUGUGGGUGAGUAA